GCGAUAUAGGGAGAUAUGGGGCAGUAUGGGGUGAAAUGGGUCCAGCUAUGGGGUGAUGGGUCUCUAUGGGUCUCUAUGGGUCCAAUGUUACUCUUUGGGGUCUCUAUGGGUCUCUAUGGGUCCAAUGGAUCUCUGUGUGUCUCUAUGGGUCCCUUUGUGUCCCUAUGGGUCCCUAUGGGUCUCUAUGGGUCCAAUGGGUCCCUAUGUGUCCCUAUGGGUCUCUAUGGAUCCCUAUGGGGUCUCUAUGUGUCCCUAUGGGUCCCUGUGGGUCCAAUGGGUCUCUAUGGGGUCUGUAUGUGUACCUAUGGGUCUGUACGGGUGCGAUGUGUCCCUAUAGGUCUCUAUGUGUCCCUAUAGGUCUCUAUGUGUCCCUAUGGGUCCCUAUGGAUCUCAAUGGGUCUCUAUGGGGUCCCUGUGGGUCCCUAUGGGUCCCUGUGGGUCUCUAUGGGUCCCUAUGUGUCCCUAUGGGUCCCUAUGGGUCGCUAUGGGUCCCUAUGGGUCGCUAUGGGUCCCUAUGUGUCCCUAUGUGUCCCUAUGGGUCCCUAUGUGUCCCUAUGUGUCCCUAUGGGUGCGAUGUGUCCCGCAGGCGCUGUGGGCGGCGCUGCUCCCUCUGCUGGCGCUGUCGGCGCCCCACGCGCUGCUCCCGGCUCUGUUGGCCGCUCUGUGGGGCGGAGCCACGUUGGGGGCGGCGCUGCUGCGCUUCACCCCCCGGCUGCCCCACGGAGACUGCGUGGUACGGACCCACGGGGCUCCCGUCCUCCCGUACGCCCAUCCUCCCGGUCCUCCCAGUCCUCCCAGUCCUCCAGUCCUCCCAUCCUCCAGUCCUCCAGUCCUCCCAGUCCUCCCAGUCCUCCAGUCCUCCGAUCUUCCAGUCCUCCAGUCCUCCCAGUCCUCCCAGUCUUCCGGUCCUCCAGUCCUCCCAGUCCUCCAGUCCUCCAGUCUUCCGGUCCUCCAGUCCUCCCAGUCCUCCCAGUCCUCCGGUCCUCCAGUCCUCCCAGUCCUCCAGUCCUCCCAUCCUCCCAGUCCUCCAAUCUUCCGGUCCUCCGGUCCUCCCAGUCCUCCAGUCCUCCAGUCCUCCCAGUCCUCCAGUCCUCCCAGUCCUCCGGUCUUCCCAGUCCUCCAGUCCUCCGGUCCUCCCAGUCCUCCGGUCCUCCAGUCCUCCCAGUCCUCCGGUCUUCCCAGUCCUCCGGUCCUCCGGUCCUCCGGUCCUCCCAGUCCUCCGGUCCUCCAGUCCUCCCAGUCCUCCAGUCCUCCAGUCCUCCCAGUCCUCCAAUCUUCCGGUCCUCCGGUCCUCCCAGUCCUCCAGUCCUCCAGUCCUCCCAGUCCUCCAGUCCUCCCAGUCCUCCGGUCUUCCCAGUCCUCCAGUCCUCCGGUCCUCCCAGUCCUCCGGUCCUCCAGUCCUCCCAGUCCUCCGGUCUUCCCAGUCCUCCGGUCCUCCGGUCCUCCGGUCCUCCCAGUCCUCCAGUCCUCCCAGUCCUCUGGUCCUCUCAGUCCUCCCAGUCCUCCAGUCCUCCCAGUCCUCCGGUCUUCCCAGUCCUCCGGUCCUCCCAGUCCUCCGGUCCUCCAGUCCUCCAGUCCUCCCAGUCCUCCAGUCCUCCCAGUCCUCCAGUCCCCCCCAGAGUCCCCCAUACCCCCCCACAUCCCCCCCAUACCCCCCCCCAGGCCCCAUAUCCCCCCAUAUCCCCCUAUAUCUCCCCCAUACCCCCCCACUUUCCCGCAUUCUCCCCCAGUCCCCCAGUCCUCCCAGUCCUCCAGUCCCCCCCAUAUCCCC
rnacentral:lncRNA from 1 species